rnacentral:rRNA from 1 species
CUGAACCAGCCAAGUAGCGUGAAGGGUGACUGCCCUAUGGGUUGUAAACUUCUUUUAUACGGGAAUAAAGUGAGCCACGUGUGGCUUUUUGUAUGUACCGUAUGAAUAAGGAUCGGCUAACUCCGUGCCAGCAGCCGCGGUAAUACGGAGGAUCCGAGCGUUAUCCGGAUUUAUUGGGUUUAAAGGGAGCGUAGGCGGGUUGUUAAGUCAGUUGUGAAAGUUUGCGG